rnacentral:rRNA from 1 species
AUUGAACGCUGGCGGCAGGCCUAACACAUGCAAGUCGAGCGGAUGAAGAGAGCUUGCUCUCUGAUUUAGCGGCGGACGGGUGAGUAAUGCCUAGGAAUCUGCCUGGUAGUGGGGGAUAACGUUCCGAAAGGAACGCUAAUACCGCGUACGUCCUACGGGAGAAAGCAGGGGACCUUCGGGCCUUGCGCUAUCAGAUGAGCCUAGGUCGGAUUAGCUAGUUGGUGAGGUAAUGGCUCACCAAGGCGACGAUCCGUAACUGGUCUGAGAGGAUGAUACGUGACACUGGAACUGAGCAAAGGUCCAGACUCCGACGGGAGGCAGCAGUGGGGAAUAUUGGACAAUGGGCGAAAGCCUGAUCCAGCCAUGCCGCGUGUGUGAAGAAGGUCUUCGGAUUGUAAAGCACUUUAAGUUGGGAGGAAGGGCAGUAAGUUAAUACCUUGCUGUUUUGACGUUACCGACAGAAUAAGCACCGGCUAACUUCGUGCCAGCCGCCGCCGUAAGAC